rnacentral:rRNA from 1 species
ACGGGAGCUUGCUCCCUUAGGUCAGCGGCGGACGGGUGAGUAACACGUGGGUAACCUGCCUGUAAGACUGGGAUAACUCCGGGAAACCGGGGCUAAUACCGGAUGCUUGAUUGAACCGCAUGGUUCAAUUAUAAAAGGUGGCUUUUAGCUACCACUUACAGAUGGACCCGCGGCGCAUUAGCUAGUUGGUGAGGUAACGGCUCACCAAGGCAACGAUGCGUAGCCGACCUGAGAGGGUGAUCGGCCACACUGGGACUGAGACACGGCCCAGACUCCUACGGGAGGCAGCAGUAGGGAAUCUUCCGCAAUGGACGAAAGUCUGACGGAGCAACGCCGCGUGAGUGAUGAAGGUUUUCGGAUCGUAAAACUCUGUUGUUAGGGAAGAACAAGUACCGUUCGAAUAGGGCGGUACCUUGACGGUACCUAACCAGAAAGCCACGGCUAACUACGUGCCAGCAGCCGCGGUAAUACGUAGGUGGCAAGCGUUGUCCGGAAUUAUUGGGCGUAAAGCGCGCGCAGGCGGUUUCUUUAGUCUGAUGUGAAAGCCCCCGGCUCAACCGGGGAGGGUCAUUGGAAACUGGGGAACUUGAGUGCAGAAGAGGAGAGUGGAAUUCCACGUGUAGCGGUGAAAUGCGUAGAGAUGUGGAGGAACACCAGUGGCGAAGGCGACUCUCUGGUCUGUAACUGACGCUGAGGCGCGAAAGCGUGGGGAGCGAACAGGAUUAGAUACCCUGGUAGUCCACGCCGUAAACGAUGAGUGCUAAGUGUUAGAGGGUUUCCGCCCUUUAGUGCUGCAGCAAACGCAUUAAGCACUCCGCCUGGGGAGUACGGUCGCAAGACUGAAACUCAAAGGAAUUGACGGGGGCCCGCACAAGCGGUGGAGCAUGUGGUUUAAUUCGAAGCAACGCGAAGAACCUUACCAGGUCUUGACAUCCUCUGACAACCCUAGAGAUAGGGCUUCCCCUUCGGGGGCAGAGUGACAGGUGGUGCAUGGUUGUCGUCAGCUCGUGUCGUGAGAUGUUGGGUUAAGUCCCGCAACGAGCGCAACCCUUGAUCUUAGUUGCCAGCAUUCAGUUGGGCACUCUAAGGUGACUGCCGGUGACAAACCGGAGGAAGGUGGGGAUGACGUCAAAUCAUCAUGCCCCUUAUGACCUGGGCUACACACGUGCUACAAUGGGCAGAACAAAGGGCAGCGAAGCCGCGAGGCUAAGCCAAUCCCACAAAUCUGUUCUCAGUUCGGAUCGCAGUCUGCAACUCGA